AUUAAAUGUGGACCCCAUUUAAAGAAAAAAUUUAUCAGCACUUCCUAAACUCACAGCUUCAUCUGCAUCAUCCUCUCACAUCGUAGACAAAACUUCAAGCUGUUUUGCCCAAUAGUUGUGGCAUUGGACCUAUGGUUACAGGUUUGUUCUUGCCUGAAAGAUGUUUACACCUUUGAACACUUGACGGUGUUGUUGCGUCAUGAAAUUGUAUUGCUGCCAUUCCCUGUAUCUCCCACUUCACAGAGCUCUGCAAGAAAUGAGUAAUAGGAAGCCUACAACAGAUUGAGGAAUUAAACAAUUAAUAGGUUCCGUGAUAUGCCAUUGGAUUUCGCGAGUAGCCGCCAAUGUCAAACUACAACGCAGUUUCUUUAUUGGAAUUGUGUGGUCCUGGCACAGAAAUCCUUGAUGCUGGCCUUUGUUCAUAACAGAAGAGUGACUUCUACCACUUUUCUGCUCCAUCCUAAUCUUCGCUACCCACACUCAUCUAGCUUCUCUGCAUAUUAUGCUGCUAAACAAUUUGCCGUACUUCACUGACGAGUUAGACUAGUCGCUUCCGUCCGCAGCGACACAUGUACUGUCACUUACCACGGGAUUAUGCCCAGAUACGGAGGUAAUGCAGAGAAGACGUUGAGAAGAUGGACACCAGAAGGUUGCCGGUAUCUGAAAAAAAUCAACGGAACAGCAGCAGCUUUUUAUUUUUCUUCAUUAUUCGUGGACACCAACUAACAACCUAAGAUGUCUCCCAUCAUGUGGUCAGAGACACGAUCGCUGUGGGUCCCACUACAAGAACUUCCUGGCAGAUUUACGAGCGGUUCAACGUGGAUCAUCAUUUAUUGCUGGUAUAUGUUUUGCUAGUUAACCCGUUGGCUGCCACGCCUUUGUUCUCCCCUAGCUCCUUAGCACGGGCCGCGCUGUUCGUUCUCGUGGUUUACAUGCCGC